GCGAGGCUGUGAAGCGGAGCAAAUCUCAAAAACCGGUCCCAGUUCGGAUUGUAGGCUGCAACUCGCCUACAUGAAGUCGGAGUUGCUAGUAAUCGCGGAUCAGAAUGCCGCGGUGAAUGCGUUCCCGGGUCUUGUACACACCGCCCGUCACACCAUGGAAGUUGGGGCGCCCGAAGUUGCCUAAGAAAUAAGGUACCUAAGGCGAAACCAAUGACUGGGGUGAAGUCGUAACAAGGUACC
rnacentral:rRNA from 1 species